rnacentral:rRNA from 1 species
UACGGAGGGUGCAAACGUUGCUCGGAAUCAUUGGGCGUAAAGCGCACGUAGGCGGUCUUGCAAGUCGGGUGUGAAAUCCCUCGGCUUAACCAAGGAAGUGCACUCGAAACUGCAAGACUUGAGUACUGGAGAGGGUCGCGGAAUUCUCGGUGUAGAGGUGAAAUUCGUAGAUAUCGGGAGGAACACCAGUGGCGAAGGCGGCGACCUGGUCAGAUACUGACGCUGAGGUGCGAAAGCGUGGGGAGCGAACGGG